ensembl:lncRNA
CACACACACACACACACCCUCACUUUCUCUCCUGCUCUGUUGUUCUUUUUGUUCUCUCUCUCCGACACGUCUUGAGUUAAGAAGGGUAUCAAGUCGCUCGCCCAUCUGUGAUGCCGACGGCACGGAGUUGGCUGAGACACGAGCGCACACCGGCGCUUGAAAUACACACACAAGUUACAUAAAGACACGGCGCGACGCACACACGUCCACAGAUGUGAGGAUGUUCUGCUCAUCACAUCCUCAUGUGAGCAUUUGUAUCCAGAAAGGGACGUUCUGGAUGCUCAAAGAAAGACCUCAAGUCCUCUUUUUAUGUUCAAGAUGAAGUCGAUGAAACUCGACAGUCUUCGGUCGUUAGAAGGAAGAACCGCGACAGGCGAGCGCUCGUUUCCCUUCCCUGAGAUUUAGUGUCAGUCAGACGGCCAAUUAAGAUCCGCACUGAUGGACGAGCACGGAAUGAAGAGUCACACCCUGCUCUCCAACUGGCCACGCAAGCUUCCCACAUUCCAACCUGCACCGCUGUCUUUUCAGAAUCCCCGGCUUAUGCUUCCUUCCCGUUGUGGCUCAAAAAAUGUAAAAACUAAUGUUUGGCAGCCGACCGCGCCGUCACUGUCACUCAGGUAUGUUGAUGGAUGGCAUCAGUGACUAUUUGUGUCAGUUGAGUUUUAAUGGACGUUUCAGAGUAAUUUACGGCCACUUGUCACGACUAGUUUACGCUUCCAGAGCCAAAGCUUCCCUCCCUCCCUCCGUCUGAAAAAGAAAAUGCCUUCUGUG